rnacentral:rRNA from 1 species
UACGUAGGCAGCAAGCGUUGUUCGGAAUUACUGGGCGUAAAGAGUGUGUAGGCGGUGCUCUAAGUCUGUUGUGAAAUCUCCCGGCUUAACCGGGAGGGUGCGGCGGAAACUGGAGUGCUUGAGGGUGGGAGAGGUAAGCGGAAUUCCUGGUGUAGCGGUGAAAUGCGUAGAUAUCAGGAGGAACACCGGUGGUGUAGACGGCUUUCUGGACCGUAACUGACGCUGAGACACGAAAGCUAGGGGAGCAAACAGG